GUUAAAGUUCUUUUUUCAUGGUAUAACUUUGGUAUGCUUGGACCUAGAGUCUUCAAACUUGACAUGAAGGUUGGCCAGGAUUAACAGAUGACCACUGGUCAUUUCAAGGUCAUUCAUUUGAAGGUCAAGGUCACUGUGACCUUCAAUAUAAAAAAUGUUAAAGUUGUUAUAACUUUGGUAUGCUUGGACCUAGAGUCUUGAAACUUGACAUGAAGGUUGGCCAUAACUAGUUAGUAACCACUGGUCAUUUCAAGGUCAUUCAUUUGAAGGUCAAGGUCACUGUGACCUUGAAUGUAAAAAUGUUAAAGUUCUUAUUUCAUGGUAUAACUUUGGUAUGCUUGGACCUAGAGUCUUCAAACUUGACAUGAAGGUUGGCCAGGAUUAACAGAUGACCACUGGUCAUUUCAAGGUCAUUCAUUUGAAGGUGAAGGUCACUGUGACCUUCAAUAUAAAAAUGUUAAAGUUGUUAUAACUUUGGUAUGCUUGGACCUAGAGUCUUGAAACUUGACAUGAAGGUUGGCCAGAACUAGUAAGUAACCACUGGACAUUUCAAGGUCAUUCAUUUGAAGGUCAAGGUCACUGUGACCUUAAAUGUUAAAAUGUUAAAAUUGUUAUAACUUUGGUAUGCUUGGACAUAGAGUCUUCAAACUUGACAUGAAGGUUUGCAAGCACACUUAGAUGACCACUGGUCAUUUCAAGGUCAUUCAUUCUAAGGUCAAGGUCACUGUGACCUUGAAUGUAAAAAUGUUAAAGUUCUUAUAACUUUGGUAGGUAAAAAUGUUAAAGUUCUUAUUCUUAUUUUUUUGUGUGUAGGUAUGUGAAAGCAAAACAAUAAAUAGUAUUAUUUCA